UUCAUCUUCAUCUCAUCUUCUAUUCCGCUUCAACAAAAGGAAAUCUCAAACCAGAAGCCGUUACCCAAGAAAAUGUACUUUAAUUCACCAUCAAAGAUGCUUCACACUAAAAUCACCACUACAACCUCAAACCACGAUGGAGAAUCCAAAACGUCAACCGUUCUUAAAAAAUUCCAUUUCACUUCCACAUCUCCAUCCUCUUUAUAUACACUUCGAGCAGUCCCCGAAUUAAAACGAUAGUGGUUAUAUCUAGAUACCCAUAGACCGAGUCAAGAGGCCUCAAGAGAUUUUGAUUGGAGCCAAUUUCAUCUUCAGUUCGAGAGGUAGGACGCUGCGCCAUUGUUACAGCGCUGGGGGAAGGCAAAUGAGAUUUAUGGAUGAAGAAGGGUCACACAUCAGGUUACUAUAAGGUGGAGUGAAACGUAUUGAGAUCUCUGCAAAGUAUUUGACGGACCAGACAAUAUAGAUAUCAAGCUUAGGGAACCCCAUCGAUUUUCAAGGUAAUUUAAUUGGCAAACCAUAUUUGUAAGGAUAUAGCUUAUCAAUCUGUCCUUUUGAAGCUCCUGAACGGUAAUCUGAUAAAUGCUCAUCAUUAACCACUCUCUUGAAUUAGUUGUACGGUAUACAAUGCAUAGAAGAAGCUUCAACUUAAGUUUACAGGGUUUUUAAUGUCUCAAUGUCAUAAUCAAGGUAGCUACAUAGAUAGUGGCGUACAAUUUCUAUAGCAUGUAUACAUGGUUUGUGAUUGGUGCCCAUACAAAAAAAAACUAUUCGACCUAUCUAGGCACUGCUUAGUGCUCUUCCAGUGAUGUUGAGUAGCCGUAGAAUUUAUAUCAUCCAUUAUCAAAGUAAAUAAGAGGAAUUACUUUUAACUUCUAAAUUGUUGCCGUUUUUUUCUCGGGCUGGUGCCAUGGGAUUAGAACACAUUUAAGAAAAUAGAAUAAGUAUGUUUUUCUCCCAAGAUCUAUCUAAGAGAAGCCUCUCUCUAAUUUUUUUAUUCCGAAAACAAGUUAAGAGGAUGUAACAAUAUCGUUUAUUUAAGCAUGAUGUCGUCGAGCAUGUGCCAGAGCUAAUGUCACUGUCCUCGGAAGUCAUACCUCUUAAUUCUUUUUAACUUUACUACUGGCAUUAAGACAGAGACGAAGUAGUUAUUAAGGAUUGUGAAGUCCAAGCCUCAAAAGGAAUCAUGUGACAACUACCAUCUCCAUAAGGAAAAAAGAAUGCCCUCUUCUUCUUUUAUUGACAUCAAAGAUUGCCCUCUUUUAC